UCUCUCCGCCCACGGCUACGCCACUGCCUGCUUGGUGCUAGCGCCGCCCUUAGUUACAGUCACCGUUAGUGCUCGUCGUCCUCUCCUGCUCUGUGCGCUGCCUGUACGGCAAAGGAAAGGGGGGAGCCAGCGUGCGAGGGAGGUAGGGAGGUGGGGCGGUGGGAGGAGCGGAGGAUGCAGCUGUAGCUGUGUAAUUACAUGGCCAGCAGCAGCAGUAGUGACAGGAGGAGACCGGCAGCCUUGCUGUGUGUGGUGUCGGCUGUAGCAGCAGCACCACCAGAGGGGGAAGCAGGUGCUGGCACACCGUAGUCUCCAUUCAUCUCACCCCUGUGCCCGGGUACACUGCGUGUUCUCCCGACGGCGGUGAAAGCGUCCAUGCCCUCUGCUGUCUCCAGCCGCUGAGGAUGCCGGGCUGGCUGUAUGUGUGCUCGGUGCUGUGCGCGCUGUGUCCCGGCUCCUCCGGCCGUCCGCUGGAAUGGUUCACUGCCCUGGUGCGCACGGAGUACACGGAGCCGCUAACGAACAGCACGGUGCAUGGUACCACGGAGAGCGGCCGCUAUGGGGACAGCUCCCCCAAGGAGAGCGUUCAGGGCCUAGUGGGGUUCCCGAGGGAUCCAGGACACUUGGAGGGCUGCGACCCCCACACCCAGUACUCAGUGCCCGGCAUGAGCACCGAGGCCAUGGAGGAGGGCGAGCCUUGGAUAGCGCUGGUAGCCCGGGGAGGCUGCACCUUCAAGGAUAAAGUGGUGAACGCGGCCCGCAGGAAGGCAGCUGCUGUGGUUAUAUUCAACGAGGAGAAGAGUGGCAAUGCCACGGUGCCCAUGGCUCACCUAGGGACUGGUAAUACAGUGGUAAUAAUGGUGGGUUAUCCAAAAGGAAUGGAUAUCAUGGAGCUUCUAAGAAGAAACAUUCCCGUAAAAAUGGUCAUCACUGUGGGCACCCGCCUUGUACAGGAAGUCAUCAGCGGGCAGUCGGUGGUGUUUGUCGCCAUUGCCUUCAUCACCAUGAUGAUAAUCUCCCUGGCCUGGCUAAUAUUCUACUAUGUCCAGCGCUUCCUAUAUACAGGAGCCAAGUAUGGAAAUCAGGGUAACCGUAAAGAAACCAAAAAAGCAAUCAGCCAACUUCAGCUGCACAGGGUGAAGAAGGGUGAAAAGGGAAUCGACAUAGAGGCUGAAAAUUGUGCGGUGUGCAUAGAAAACUACAAACCCAAAGAUGUUGUUCGCAUUCUCCCAUGCAAACACAUUUUCCAUCGGCAGUGUAUAGAUCCAUGGCUACUUGAACACAGAACAUGCCCGAUGUGUAAAUUGGAUGUCAUUAAAGCUCUUGGAUUUUGGGUGGAGCCUGAUGAAACACUAGAGGUUCCUGUUCCAGAAUCCAUCGCUGGCAGCAGCCUAUCUGUUGGGACCUUGAAUUUUGCCCAAGAGGAGAACAGAAGUGAAAUAAACAACCUGCCCACUUCUUCAGCAGGAGAGACUUUACAUCAGUGUAACAGUACCAAGGAAGAUGCAGGGGAAACCACCGCAUUGCUGGGAAAAUAAAAGGGUGAGUGUACAAAAUAAGUGACCUGGAUUAGGGAGAAAGCUAUAGGUAGAGGUGAUCCUGGCAGUGAGGAUAUACCCGGGGAGCAAAUACAGAAUUCUGUGAAUCCUAUUUCUCACUAACCUUGCUCGUUAAGGAACUUUUGGACUGAUCUAGAACUUGUUUUUAAUUGUACGGGUUUAAAAAAAGCCAUGAAGUUACAUUUGGUUUAAAGAGACCAGUAUAACAGACCUAUAAAACUGUUGGAUCCUUAUUUUUAAACACAAAGCCCUGUUUGCUAGGACAUACAUAUGGUACCUGUUACAUAUUUCCCUAAGGUCUGGUCUAGUAGUAAUAUAGAGGACUGGCGUUGAAAACACAUGGUGUCACACAAAGGUGGUAACUAAACUUGGCGUUCAGUCCACUGCCGGAGAGAGGUGGAAAAAGUCUUCUGGAUGGAAAAAAAUAAUUAAUGAACAUUUAUUGUGCUAGAUUGUAACUGUGCAACAUAGCAGUUAGUUUUGUUUACUUACUAGUUUCCUCUUCACAUUUACUCUGGAUUCCGUGGAACAACAAAGAAAGCACUUAUGAGAGGAGAAGACGUUUGUGUUGAAGUCUGGUACUUAACCCCUAACUUUUUACUCAUGUAAAAUCUAACUUUACAAGUGGAGAUAAACCUGGAAGUAUGGCUCAGGUAUUCUGUAUAGACCAGUGAUGAACAAGUUCAGUUGUACAACAUCCGCCUCAGGAAUCCGGACACCUACAGUAAUGAAGAUGUGUGUUGUUGGAUCCAGCUCAGGCAUCCGGAUACCUGCAGUGAUGACUAUGUUGUUUCUGAUCCAGCUCAGGAAUGUGCGAUUGCGGUGAUGAACAGGUUCUAUUGUUGUGGAUAAAAAAUUAAAACCUAGAUUACACACCUUUUAAGUGGAUAUGUUCAUAACUCGCUGACUACUUACUAUAGGUUUACUUAUUACAUAGUUUGACCAAAGACUGCUGAAUUAUUAUUUUUUUUAUUUUUUUUUUCUUCCUGUUUACAGUUAGUCGUGAAGCAAAUAACAUCAUUACAACAUUAUGUACUGUGCUGAACAUAUAAAAAGAGGAAUUAAAGCAUUUUUAUUGGUUGUAA